rnacentral:tRNA from 1 species
AAGCGAUGUGGCGCAGCCAGGUAGCGCACCUGCUUUGGGAGCAGGGGGUCGGGAGUUCAAAUCUCCCCAUCC